rnacentral:rRNA from 1 species
UACGUAGGUGGCGAGCGUUGUCCGGAAUUACUGGGCGUAAAGCGCGCGUAGGCGGAUCUGCAAGUCGGGGGUGAAAUCCCGAGGCUCAACCUCGGAACUGCCUUCGAUACUGCGGGUCUCGAGUCCGGGAGAGGUGAGUGGAAUUCCUAGUGUAGAGGUGAAAUUCGUAGAUAUUAGGAAGAACACCAGUGGCGAAGGCGGCUCCACUGGCCCGGUACUGACGCUGAGGCGGCGAAAAGCGUGGGGGAG